rnacentral:rRNA from 1 species
UGGGGAAUAUUGCACAAUGGGCGCAAGCCUGAUGCAGCCAUGCCGCGUGUAUGAAGAAGGCCUUCGGGUUGUAAAGUACUUUCAGUCGGGAGGAAGGUGGUAAGGUUAAUAACCUUAUCAAUUGACGUUACCGACAGAAGAAGCACCGGCUAACUCCGUGCCAGCAGCCGCGGUAAUACGGAGGGUGCAAGCGUUAAUCGGAAUUACUGGGCGUAAAGCGCACGCAGGCGGUCGAUUGAGUCAGAUGUGAAAUCCCCGGGCUUAACCCGGGAAUUGCAUCUGAUACUGGUCAGCUAGAGUCUUGUAGAGGGGGGUAGAAUUCCAUGUGUAGCGGUGAAAUGCGUAGAGAUGUGGAGGAAUACCGGUGGCGAAGGCGGCCCCCUGGACAAAGACUGACGCUCAGGUGCGAAAGCGUGGGGAGCAAACAGG